rnacentral:lncRNA from 1 species
AAUGAUAAAAAGAUCAAUGGAAAUAGGUAAAAAGAACAGAGAAUUAAAAGGAGAAAGGAAAAAAAAUCACCUUUUGAAAUCAUUUUUGGACUUUUCUAUUCAGUAUGCGUAUAGUGUGCGUACGUUAAUUUUUUAUAGAUUACAUUAAUGGCUUUUUAUAGCCAAAUUUACAAAAUAAAUAAAAGGGAAAAAAAAGAAUGAAAAUCAUAUUUUCUGGCUGUCAUUUCUGUUAUUCUAUUAGCCUGGUUUCUUCUCAUGUAUUCUGUUGCAGGUAUAGCCGUACGGAGGAGCGGGGAGAGGUGCGCAUGAAAGAGGUCGUGCGGGGAAAUGGCUCGUGGGAGCCCGACCCCCUGGUGCUGUUCUGGCAUGUUCCAGAAGCUUCUGGUGCUCUCGGCUGCUGAGAUUCCUUUUGGGUCCUUUCGGGUUUGGGCCUUUCGUAAAUCGGGCUAGGGAUUUUGGGUAUAGUUCUUUUGGGCCAUUUUAUGUAAUUGGGUUAGGUCUAGAUUAAGAGGUUUGGGUUUAAUUUAAUUGAGGCCCAAAUAUUUGUAACCAGACACUAGGCUCUUAAAUUUGGAUUCUUUAUUUGUUUUUUUAUUUUAAUUUAUUUGGUCCUAUUUGUUUGGCUUAUUUUAAUACCUUAAGUGGGCCCGGGAAAAAUGGGUUAAUAGAGCAAAGACUUCAAAAUGGGCCAAUUUUGCUCGAUUUUGUCGAAGCUUAACUGUAACCUUAGGGAAACAGGGCUAGUGGCUUAAAUCUGCUCCAUUGCCAAUACAUGGAGAUAAGAUUCGCCAUCCUCGAUCUGUUCCACUACUAUUUAGGGAGAUAAGACCUUCAAUCUUCAAUCUGCUUCCUUGCUACCUCAGGAAGAUAAGACUCAAUCUUCAACUUGCUCUCUUGCUACCUCAGAGAUAAGGCUUGGGGCUUUAAAUCUACUCCAUUGCCGAUACAUGGAGAUAAGAUUCACCAUCUUCGAUCUACUCCGCUAUUGUUUAGGGAGAUAAGAUCUUCAAUUUUCAGUCUGCUUCCUUACUACCUCAGGAAGAUAAGACUCAAUCUUCAACCUGCUCUCUUGCUACCUCAGAGAGAUAAGGCUUAGGGCUUAAAUCUGCUCCAUUGCCGAUACAUGGAGAUAAGAUUCGCCAUCUUCGAUCUGCUCCGCUACUAUUUAGGGAUAUAAGAUCUUCAAUCUUUAGUCCGCUUCCUUGCUACCUCAAGAAGAUAAGACUCUAUUUUCAACCUGCUCUCUUGCUACCUCAGAGAGAUAAGGCUUGGGGCUUAAAUCUACUCCAUUGUCGAUACAUGGAGAUAAGAUUUUCCAUCUUCGAUCUGCUCUGCUGCAACUUCAGGGAGAUAAGAUCUUCCAUCUUCCAUCUGCUUUCUUGCUACCUCAGAAAGAUAAGACUCAUUCUUCAACCUGCUCUCUUGCUACCUUAGAGAGAUAAGGCUGGUGGCUUAAAUCUGCUCCAUUGCCAAUAUAUGGAGAUAAGAUUCGCCAUCUUUAAUCUCCAUUUUAUAUGCGCAUAUUCAUUCAAAAUAAUUAGGAUGCUAUAAUUAAAAUGAAUCUAAUGCUCCUAACUAAAUAUGGUAUGACAUAUGUAGUAAUGAGAAUGAUUCCAAUUUAAAAUUUAAGGUAUCAUCACUCGUUGUUCAUCAGUAUGUUGUCCCUGCCGUAUUACACGGUCAUCUCGCUCAAUCAACAUUUUGACAAAAUAUCCCAAAGAAACAACCAUAUUCUGCUCAGCAAGCUUGCCCCGCUGUAAUUCCAAUGCCCCUUCUACUAUUCUUUCUGAGACAAAAAACAUUGUAACUCAUAGUUGAAUUUUCCCCUGUUCAAUCUGCUACCUCACUCCUCGAGUGUCAUGGCCAGAUGUGCAUGUUUGAUAUUUGCAAGGAUACAAAAUAUCAUUUCCCCUUUCUUGAGAAUAAUUCCUUUUUAUAUUGAUCAUUUUUUCAAAAUUGUAUCACCAACACCAUAUAUUGUCCUUUUUCUCAAUCAUCAUUUGGACAAAAAUCCAAAGAGGCGAUUUAUUCAAGUAUGUCCUUGAAUUUUGGUGCAUUCUAAACAAUAGUCCUGUUUCAGGUUCCUGUAUUAUCUAGAAACUUCUUAAGUAAUAUGCGAAACUUCUAUUGUGAAAACAUUAAUAGUUCAUUUAUCAUUAUUUCAAUGCAACAUGUUUAAAAUCAAACAAGGGAUAAGAAUGGAGUUGAAUUUUGAGCUCAAAGUGAAUAAAUCAUCAAAAGAACAAAAAUGGCCAUUAAUUUAGGAAUGUAUAUUUUGAAAAAGAAAGACUAAUUCAAAGAUACCCAACUUAUUGGAAAUAAAAUGAAGACUAGGUACCCUGAUAUCGCAAACCGAGCUUCUCCGUACAAACUUCUUGAAGACCAAUUCAAAUUUGACAUGUGUCUAGAAGAUCAAAAGUACUUUGUCAAUACCUCAAGAUGCAACAUACCCCCUUCCUUGUUAAUUCAAGUAUAGCAAGAUCAUCGCCUUCCUACUUUAGAUUAACAUUUAAGCCGCCCUUUUUGGGUUUUCGACUCAAAUCCCCUUUGGUCUCAAGGCGCCCUUUGUAGGUUUUCACCUUGGUCUCUCCUUUUUCCUUUUUUAUUUUCCUUUUUACCCUUUUUUAUUGAGUCUCAAAGUGCCCUUUGCGGGUUUUCACUUUGGCCCUUUAUCUUUUCCAUUUUUAUUAGGUCUCAAAGCGCCCUAUGCGGGUUUUCACUUUGGCUUCUUCCCCUCACUAGGUGUAGUACUUUUUGACUGAAUCCGAGUUUACUGGAUUAGACAAGUUUUUUCUAUCCAUUUCGGCUAGGAUUAAUGCUCCUCUGGAGAAAGCUUUCUUCACCACAUAAGGCCUCUUCCAAUUUGACAUCAAUUUUCCUUUGAAAUCUUUUUGUAUAAGAAGAAUCUUUUUCAAAACCAAAUCUCCUUCAUGAAAUUCUCUUGGGCUAACCUUUUUAUUAUAACCUGCAUCAUUCUUUUUUUAUACAUUUGACCAUGCUGGAUAGCUCUUAGUCUCUUUGCUUCAAUCAAAUUCAACUGAUCAUAUCGAGACUGUACCCAUUCUACUUCAUCCAACUUCAAUUCUGACAAAACUCGAAGAGAAGGUAUCUCCACCUCAAUGGGUAGAACUGCUUCCAUCCCAUAAACCAAUUAGAAAGGCAUUGCCCUAGUAGAAGUUCUGAAAGAUGUUCGAUAAGCAUAGAGGGAAAAUGGAAACUUCUCAUGCCAAUCUUUGUAAGUUUUGGUCAUCUUUCCCGCGAUCCUCUUGAUAUUUUUAUUGGCUGUUUCUACUGCCCCGUUCAUUUUUGGGUGAUAUGGUGAUGAAUUAUGGUGUCUAAUCUUAAAUUGACUGCAGACCUCUGCUAUUGUACUGUUGUUCAAAUUUAAUGCAUUAUCAGAUAUGAUCCUCUCAGGCAUCCCAUAUCGACAUAUAAUUUCCUUCUUUAAAAAUCUGCUGACUGCCGAUUUAGUUACAUUGGCAUAUGAAGCAACCUCCACCCACUUGGUAAAAUAAUCAAUGACGACAAAGAUGAAAUGAUGCCCAUUUGACACCUUCAGUGAGAUUGGUCCUAUGACAUCCAUGCCCCACUUGGAAAAUGGCUAUGGGGAAGUCAUAACAUGUAGGGGCGAAGGAAGUACAUGAAUCUUAUCACCAUAAAUUUGACAUUUAUGACAUUUCUUAGCAUAAUUGAUACAGUCUCCUUCCAUAGUUGACCAAUACUAUCCAAACCUCAUAAAUUGUCUGGCCAUUGUGAACCUAUUAGCAUGUGUUCCACAAACCCCUUCGUGCACUUCUUCCAAGAUUUUCUUGGAUUCCACAACAUCCACACAUCUCAAAAGUACCUGAUCCUUCCUUCUUUUGUAUAGGAUCUCCCCAUCUAAAACAUAAUCACAAGUGAGCCUUCUCAAUGUCCUUUUUUCAUUCUCCGUGGCUUGACCUGGAUAUUCACGAUUUCUUACAUAUCGCAAUAUAUCCUGAUACCAAGGAUGAUCAUCUCUUUUUUCUUCCUCUAUAUUAUAACAAUAAGACGGAGCCUCACAAAUACUCAUCUAAAUAGGCUUCACAUCUUCUUGUCUGCCUACUUUGACCAUGGAAGCCAAAGCAGCCAAAGCAUCAGCCAUCUGGUUUUCAUCAUGUGGGAGAUAAUUGAAGGUAAUAUCAUCAAAUUCUUCAACUAACCCCAACACCAACCUUCUGUAAUUGAUUAAUUUAGAAUCUCUUGUCUCCCAUUCACCUCGAAGUUGGUAAAUUACCAGCACAGAAUCUCUAUAUACUUCCAGGGACUUGAUCUUACGCUCUAUAGCUGCUCGGAGUCCCAUGAUACAUGCUUCGUACUCUGCCAUAUUAUUCGUGCAAUAAAAAUCCAAUUUACAUGUGAAUGGAUAAUGAUUUCCACCUGGAGAUACCAAAACUGCUCCAAUUUCAUUACCCAUAGCAUUUGAGGCUCCAUCAAAAUUCAAUUUCCAAGAGCGAUCUUUUGUAGUGUCCUCUUCAAUAGCUGCUACAUACACUAUCUCCUUAUUGGGGAAAUCAAAAUUCAAGGGCUCAUAAUCUUCUAAAGCUCGACUGGCUAGAAACUCUACUAUUGCGCUCCUUUUCACAGCUUUUUCACUCACGUAGAUUAUGUCAAAUUCAAAAAGUAAAAUUUUCCACCUAGCCGUCCUCCCAUUCAAGGCAUUUGACUCCAUCAUAUACUUUAGAGGAUCCAACUUUGAAAUUAACCAAGUCGUAUGGUACAACAUGUAUUGCUUCAACCUCCGAGUUGUCCAAACCAAAGCACAACACAAAUUUUCAAUUGGCGAAUACCUCAAUUCACACUCAGUGAAUUUUUUAUUGAGGUAAUAUAUCGCUCUUUCUUUUCUUCCUGAUUUAUCAUGUUGACCAAGCACACAUCCCAUAGAAUUACCAAACACAGUUAAAUACAGUAUCAAUAGCCUGUCUGAACUAGGUGGUGAUAACACUGGAGGACUCGACAAAUAUUUUUUAACUUUAUCAAAAGCUCUAUGGCAUUCGUCAUCUCAUUCUCCUAGGUUAUGCUUUUUAAGAAGAUAAAAUAUGGGGUCACAUUUCUCCGUUAAUUGAGAAAUAAACCGAGCAAUGUAAUUUAGUCUUCCCAGGGAGCCUCGAACUUCUUUUUGAGUGAGCGGUGGAGACAACUCUUGUAUAGCCCAGAAUUUGUCUGAAUCAAUCUCAAUUCCUCUCUCACUGACUACAAAGCUCAAUAGCUUUCCAGAUCUAGCCCCAAAGGUACACUUGGUCGGAUUAAGCUUUAGCUAAAAUUUUCUCAAUCUCAUGAACAACUUUCUCAACACGUGGAUGUGUUCCUUUUCAUACGGGAUUUGACUAUCAUAUCAUCAACAUAAACCUCGAUCUUCUUGUGCAUCAUAUCAUGAAAUAAGGUCACCAUGGCCCUUUGAUAUGUCGCUCUAGCAUUCUUUAGUUCGAACGGCAUCACUUUAUAACAGAAUGUGCCCCAUAAAGUUAUGAAAAUAGUCUUUCCCAUGUCCUUAGGAUGCAUCUUGAUCUGAUUAUACCUUGAGAAGCCAUCCUUGAAGGAAAACAAUGAGUAGCCCGCCGUAUUGUCUACUAGCGUAUCAAUGUGAGGCAAGAGAAAAUUGUCCUUUGGGCUAGCCUUAUUUAGAUCUCUAUAAUCCACACACAUCCGUACCUUGCUGUCUUUGUUGGGGACAGGCACAAAUUGGCUACCCAUUCUGAGUAUUUGAUAACCUAAAGGAAUCUGACAUCGAAUUGCUUUUUGACUUCCUCUUUUAUCUUUAAGACAAUAUCUGGCCUCAUUCUUCGAAGUUUCUGCUGUACUGGCUUGCAAUCUUCUUUUAUGGGAAGGCGAUGUACUACAAUGUCAGUACUUAAACUGGGCAUAUCCUGGUACGGCCAUGCAAAAACAUCUUUGAAUUCCUUGAGCAAUCUGACAAGAUCUCACUUUUUUUCUUCAGUUAUGCAUGUUCUAAUUUUUACAACUUUUCCCUCUUCCAAAGUCACUAUGUCCACUACUUCUUUAUGAGGUGAAUUUUUUUUCCUCUUGUUCUACCAUCCUUAACAAGUCCGGAGAUAAAUCGCAGUCUCUGUCAUCUUCAAAAUGCUGAGAUCUCUUUAAACACAUGUCUUGCUCAAAUAAUGAUUCUGAGUCAGUAAGAGCGUCACUCAUGAUAUUGAUAUCCAGGGACCUAUUAUAGGUACAAAAUAUACAAAGAAUGAAUGAAUUUGAUAAUUAUUGUUUUGUAUAGUAUGUUUAUGAAUAAAAUAAAAGAAUAUUUGAAGAAAGAAUCAGGAUAAUUAUUUAAAUGAAAAAAUAACAGAAUUGCUUGCGAAAAGAAUAAAAGAAUGUUUGCUCAAAAUGAUAGCAAAAAUGUAUUUCAUUAAAAUAAUGAUGUUUGAACAUGAGCCUAUUUCACAAAGAAAUCUUUAUUGUCUCUAGGCUUAAAACAACAAGUUUGUUUUGAACAUUACUCUGAGUAAGCUCUAAAAACUACAGGAAGGUAUUCUAUAGACCAAUUGUCUAGAACACUCCCAGGCUCAUAUGGAUGAAUAUUUGACGAAAUCCCCUCUUCAAUUGUCUCUUUAAAUAUGGCAUUGAUGUACACAUUUUCCAAUUCUCCUUCCACGUUUUCUUUCUCUGACAUCUCUUGUUCAGGAUAAAUAAUCCCUUCUGAUACGUAAGUCCUAGAAAUGUGAGGAAUUAUCAUGAGUUCCCACUUAAUUUCUCUACCACUCACACGUGCUCUUCUUCUUUCCUGCCUUCUUUCCAGUUCCUUUUCCUUUGUCUUGCAUCUGGCUUGAACCCCAAACCAAAGCGAUCAUGCUUGUCUUUCAGCAUUGGAACUGCAAUUAUUCCCUGGAGACAUCUCCCAAGUCCCUUUCCUGGUAAAACUCCACGUCCUACCAUCAACUGUAAACCCAUCACCGUAGUUUUAGACAUUUUCGGCUCUAAAAUUCUACUUCCCUCAGUGAUGAAUGUUGCAUUCAAAAACUCCAAAGAUCGAAAAUAACACUCAAUAGCUUUAUCAUCUGCCUCUAAAUAUGGUGCGUCACUGCUUACAGCUACAAUAAUAUCCUCUUCAGCAUUUAUCAUUACCAACCGCCCUUUUGAUACUAGCUUUAACUUCUGAUGUAAUGACGAAGGCACUGCCCCUGCCGUAUCCAAUGUCUCCCCAACAAGCAAUUGUAAGAGGGCUUAAUAUCCAUUACUAAGAAAUCUACCUCAUACGUAAUUGGGCCAAUCAGCAAAGGCAUUUCUAUUCUUCCCACGACUCUCCUUUCUGUGCCAUCAAAUGCUCGCACUAUAUUCUGACAUCCCUUCAUGUGUGAGCUAUCCACAGGUAACCUGUUUAACAUGGACAAGGGAAAUACAUUCAAUGCUGACCCAUUGUCAACUAGAACCCCAGGCAAUGUAUAUCCUUUACAUCUAGUAGUUAUAUACAAAGUUUUUGUAGAUCCCAUUCCUCUUGGUGGUAUCUCGUCAUCAUUGAAGAAGAUGAAGUUAUCAGCACUUAUGUUAUUCACUAACCAGUCCAACUUGUUGAUAGAAAUAUCAUUAGUCACAUAUGUCUCAUUUAGCACUUUCAUCAAUGCACUUCGAUGUACUUCUGAGCUUAGAAGCAAAGCUAAUAUAGAUAUGCGGUCUGGUUGUUUAUGCAACUGUUCCACCACACUGUACUCACUGUGCUUCAGAAAUUUCAAGAAUUCCUUAGCUUCUUAUUCUUUCACCGGUUCAUUAACAGGCACCUCAGGUUCGACUACUUUUCCCCUUUUUGUUCGACUGUCAAAUCUUUUCCUUUUACAGGCUUUGUUCAGGCACUUGUCAAAUCAUAUCAUCUUCUACUGCACGUGUGAGAACCUAUAUUUUGAUCCUCCCUUAACGGGCUGACCGAACUCUUCUUUCCCGGGACUGUCACAUUACAAUCAUAAUUCCAAUGAACCUUUUUUCUAUCCUUGUAAGAGAAAAUCGCUGGCUUCUGAAUUUUGAUCUUCGGUGUCAUCUGAAUUCCUGCUUCAUUCUUAGGACGUGAAAUAAUGACCACAGGACGAUUGAAUUUUGGGACAUUCAUUGUAGAUUCCGACGCACAUAUAUAACUUUCCUCCUUAACCUCCUCAUAAAAUUCUAUCCCCUUGUUAUCCAUUCGGCCCUGAAUAACAGCUCUGAACUCUUCGUAUUCCUGAAUUCUAUGUCCCUCUUCAUGAUGGAACUCACAAUAAUUCUCUAUCUCAUCAUCACUUCCUUCUGAAUUCGAAGUAACUAACCCCUGUUUUACCAUCUCCUUUCAGACCAAUUUCAAAGGAGCUUUUGCUUCCAUAAUAUCCAUCUAGAUUCUUUUUCCAAUACUUCCAUCUAUCAUGUUUACCCCACUGUCAGUAUGAUUAGGUAACAGAUUUUCUGCACUAGGCGUAUUAUCGAACUUCACGAUGCCCAUCUGAAUAAAUCUCUCAACUAGCUUCUUAAAAAUAGUGCAAUUUUCUAUUGAAUGCCCUACGAUUCCUGCAUGAUACUCACAUUGAACAUUGGCAUCGUACCAAUUAGGGAAUGAAGGUUGUAAUGGCUUUAGAUAAAAAGGUGCCACCACAUGUGUGUCAAACAAACUUUAAUACAAUUCUUUAUAAGUCAUGGGGAUUGGUAUAAAUUGAAGCUUCUCACUGUUUUUCCUUGCUCCAGAUUCCUGCCUUGAUGAACCCUGACCAGUAGUUAUGGCCUUUGGCUGACUUACAGUAACAGACUUUGAAUACCCCACAUUUGCAUUGUUCACCUCAUUCUCCUUUUUCCGUGGCACAGACCUUUUUGUACUUUCUUCUAUAUCUAUCUUUCCAUUUCUUAAGGCAUUCUCAAUCAUUUCUCCUGUCAUGACCACAUCCACAAAGCUCCUUGUAGCACUUCCUAGCAUGUGAGUUAUGAACGGAGCUUUUAAGGUAUUAAUAAAGAGCAUUAUAGUUUCCUUCUCUAAGAGCGGUGGCUGGACUUGGAUGGCUACUUCUCUCCAUCUCUGUGCAUACUGCUUAAAACUUUCAUUUGGUUUCUUCUCCAUAUUCUGUAGAGUAAUUCUAUCAGGAGUCAUAUCCGUUACAUGGUUGUACUGCUUCAUAAAUGCUUGUGCCAAAUCUCUCUAUGAACUAAUUCUAUUUCGACCAAAUGAUUGUACCAUUUAGCUGCUACUCCCACCAAACUGUCUUGGAAGCAAUGAAUCAAUAAUUGAUCAUUAUUAACAUACCCAGUCAUUCUUCUGCAAAACAUAGUGAUAUAAGCUUCAGGACAGCUCGUUCCAUUAUACUUCUCAAAUUCUGGCAUCUUGAACUUGUAUGAAAGUACUAAGUCUGGGACCAAAUUCAGAUCUUUUGCAUCGACUCCAGGAUGUCUAUCAAUUCCUUCCAUUGCCUUGACCUUUUCCUCCAACCAUUUACACCGCUCCUCCAACUGUUUCUGUGAUUCCAUCCUGUCCCUUUCCUCUACGCAACUUUAUCCAAAUUAGGCACCAUUGGAUUAUUCGAGUUAUUACCAGGAUUAAAACCUGAGCUAGCUUAAAAAUUCAUUGGUACUGAAACUCUAGCUUGAAAUUGAUGAGGCCUGAUCGUAACAGAUGGUUUUUUGCAAAUUAAUCUCAGGUUGUGUCUGCACAUGUGUAGAAGUGAAGCCAGGAGGAUAUUAAGGGUCUUCAUUAUUUUCCCCAACAUUAUCCAUAGGACCUUUUCCCUUAUCCACUCUUCCCAUCAGCAAUUGGGACAACUGACUCAUUAUCUCUCUUUGGGACUCCAUCAUUUGUUCUUUCAUCUCUUACUGAAUCUUAGCCAACUGCUCUUGCAUCUGUGACUGCAUUUGUUCUUGCAUAUCCUUUUACAUUUGCUCUAACUUUUUAAGCCUUUUUUCCAUUGACUUGGUCUUUUUCCUUGUACCGUAGGGAUGUGUAUUUGGUGUGUUUUUGUUGGUUUCCAGAUUACUGAAAUAAUUUUUAAAUAAAUUAAAAUCUUGUUAUAGCCUUUAAUGCAUAUGAUGUAAUGUAAUGCAAAUGCAUGAAUGCAAAGGAGGCAUCAAUUCUGAUUCAAUUUCAUUUAGAAAACUUUACUAGAAAAUAAAAUUCUUUACAUAAAAUUGAGUUAGAAAUAAGACUUCACCCUAAUGCUUAGAGCCUUGAUUUUCCUAAGCAAUGAAGCUAGUUAUUGUCCCCUAUCUGACCCAAACUCAUACUUUACACUUAAUACGUCUGCCUAUACCGUCAAAGUCUGCAAGUAAUCAGCUACUUCUCAAAUUUGUGUUAUAGCUUCUCCCAUGAUGUAAUCACCGCUUCUAACUUCGUCUUAAGAGUGAUGAAGCUGACCCUUCCAUUGCUCCUCAUUUGCCUCCAAGAACUCGAUCCUUAUUUCACAACUUUGCAAUGCCGUCCCUAAUUCUUCUAUUUUCCCUUUCAUCUCUUCGAUCUUACUUAAGCUUGCUCUCAACUCCGUCAUAGAAUUGCGAUUCUGAUACAGACAUAGAGAUCUCUCCAGUUCCGCUACUCUAGCCUUUAAUUCAUCUUGUUCAUUUUUACUCUCCGACAAACUUUUUUCCAAGGCCUCGUUUCGAGCUUGAGCCUUCUGGAACCUCUUUUCCCACUGAUCUGCCUUAUUCUUUUCUUCUCGAACUUCCUAACGCCAUUGUUCUGACAUUUUACCUAACCCAGUAAUCCUCAUCAACAGGCGCAACUUCUUAUAAUCUGUCUUUAAACUUUCCAAAUCCUCCUCCACUUCAAUCUUCCUUUUCUGUAACUUUUCUGCCUCUAACUUCUGAACCUCCACAUCUAAUUUUAAGUUCAUUUUCUCUUCCUCCAACUGCUUGAUCCUUUUCCCAAGCUCAAAACUCUUCUUCUCAAAGUCUUCCCUUAUAAUUUCCAACUCUGACGGGGCGACUUGUAAUUGUUCCUACAUUGGUCUGGUGCUUUCUAUACAUGGUCUAGGAAUAUUGUCAUUGACCCUUUUUCUAAACCAUCCAUUGUAUUCAGGUGUCACCAUAGAACCAAUAGCCAACCUCUUCAUCCAGUGAGUUUGCUUCCAGGCAUCAGAUAGUUCCCGAACUUUCUUCUUAUAGUGGUCACCUUUAUAUGGGAAUUCACACUGAGCAAGCCUGUAAGUCGUGGGUAUAAACUGUCUCUAUUUAUACUACCUUAAUGCCAGCAAAGGAGUAUAUCCAGUGGCUCCCCAAAUUCCUGACAAUGGUACCCAAUCAAAGUUCCCACAUCUAUACAGGAUCUCAUCAAGAACCAUCCAAAAAGCUCUCUACUCUAUAUCCUCCUCCUUGAGAUUUUAAAGAAUUUCUAUCCAUUUCUCCUUUGAAAUAUCAUCUCUUUUUUGCAUAGCUGCCUCCUCCUUUAAUGGGGAAUAGCUUUCAGAGAAGACCCAAUAAGAAACCCUGUUCACUUUCUAAAAAUGCCCAUGAAACCAAACCAUCAACAACUGUGCACAUCCAAUAAAUCUCCCCUCACCUGCCUUCCUACACAUGCUCAAGGAUCUGACGUCUCAGCCAGUAUUGCAGGUACAUGUGUGAUUCCCUUCUCAAGACGAUCAAAUAAGUCAGUGACUGCCUCAUCCACGUGCCUUAAAGCCUUAGGAAAAAUCACCAAUCCAUAAAUGCUUAAGGCGAAGAUAUCGACCCUCUUCCUUUCAUCUAGAUGUGUUAAGACCAAAUCUCUCAAAUUCUCCCAAGGAAUUCAUUUACUAUCCCCCUUUUGUUGAAUUCAAGUAGUGACCCAAGGCUCAUUCAUCCCCGAAAUAGUCAUCAAUUUAUCUGCAAAAGUUGGACCAUUAAAAACCUUAGCAUAAGCUUUUCUGACUUGAACUUUUGAACACCUCAGCAGGAUAGUAUAUUCUUCCACAGUAGGCAUCAAAUCCACUUCCCCAAAAGUGAAACACUUGUAAGUAGAAUUCCAAAAUUGAGCCAUCACUCGAAACAAAUGCUUGUCCACCUUAAUAUCAAGCAAGUAGGCUAUAUCACCAUAACUCUGAUAGAACAACUGUUUGGUUCCCUCAUCCCAGCGAACCCAUAUAUCUCGCAACUCUUGCAACUCAUUCUAUGUCACAUUGAUGCGAGUGAAGUUCUGCAACUCUGAUGUAUAUCCUUCUACCAGGCUAUCCCUUUUCUCUGAUUGUAACUUCUCUGACCACGCACGGACAACCGCAUUAUCCUCAAAUUUAUCAAGAAAUUCAUUCUCCAUGUUAAAUCUUCUAACUUAGUAAUCGAAUACGAAUCAACACCUCCUUUAGUAUGCAAUGUUAUGCAAAACACAAUCAAAACAAAACACAACAAGUCAGUAUCAGAUAUAAAUAAUAAAAUACAAGCAAAACAAAGAUGAUUAAAACACAUAUAUGGGCAACUACUAAAGUUUAACCUAGCUCCACCUAAAGAAGGCUCUUAGGGUUCACUAUAUGUGGCUCGAUUCUAAAGAGAAGGUACCUGAACCAGCAGAUUCCUCAAUCCUCACCCAUUAUAGGCUCAUAUGGAUCGAGUUCGGUUCAGGGGAAUACAUUUCCCUAUGACCAUGCGGAGAUGAAAAUCUCACGAAAUCAUAGGUAUAGAUGUAUCCCGGAAGCAAUCCACUAGCCCAUACGGAGGUGAAAACCUCACGGAGGCAUAGCUUCUCACUCCCACUUAAAGGUAUAACUGCAACGGUCAUGCAAUGCAAUGCAAUAUUAUUCUACAAGACUUGGACCGCAACAAUCAUACAAACAAAUGCAACAAAGAAUCAUGAUUUUUAAAUGAAUUUUUCAACUUUAAACAAAAAGACAGAAAAUAAUCAAUUUUAUAGCUUGACUCUCUUGUUCAAUCCCCAGUGGAGUCACCAAGCUGUCGAAACCAUUUUUUAUUUUGAAGAAAAACAGGGAUUGACUUUUAAAACAAAAAUGUGGAGUCGUCACCAAUCUUUUUGUUUAGGUGUGAUUGGGUCACCUACAAAAACAUUUUGUACCAUUUAAAUCAAUUUUGGUCCACGUAAAAAAAAUGGGUUCGGGAGCCAGUUACGUAUGAGGAAGGGUUAACACCCUCAAUAUGCCCAAAAACUGGUACCAAAUUGAUUAAGUGAUAUCCUUAUGUCUAGAUUUUUUUUAAAAAAAAAAGGAAUUUUGAAAUAUGGUUCUUAUUAAAACACUUAAGUGGUUCAAAUUGAACGUCAAAAUUCUCUCGUUUUAACAGUACGCAACAUCAUAUCAGCACGAUUGGACACAAUCCUUUAUACCAUUAAAAAUACGAUUGAUUUUUUUACUUUCAAAAGCUCAUACGCCAAAAAUUAUAAAAGGGUGUCUAAAUAUUUAGUCCGACGAAAAAUCAUAUCCAGCACAAUAGGGCACGAUUUCCCGAAUUUCCAAAUAUUGAAUAUUGCCCUAUUUUAGAAUCUUUGAAUAAUAAAGAGAAUUGAAAAUUAGCUCAAAACACAUUUAUUUGUUUUAAAAUGAGAUGGAAUAAUUAAUUAUUUAAAAAAAUGAACAUUACAAAGCAACAUUUGUAUAAAAAAAAUUAUAAACAUGAAAUAAUAUGCACACAUAAAGUGCAAUACUUAGCGAAUAAAGAUGACACAACGUUAUCUAACCAACUACUAAAGCAAACAAUUAACUACAACUAAUCUGAGAAAGAUGUAACCAAAUUUUUAAGCAUGGAUGGAGAACAAUUAAUAGAACAAAUAAAACAAUGAAUAAAUAACAUGCAACAACAAUAGAUAUGGCACAAUAUAAAACAAUCAACAAAACAUAUACAAAACAAAAUGGAAAUUAGAAGUCAACGUGGUAUAAGACAAUUUUAAAAAAAUGAUGAACACAUAAUAUAUAAUAUAUGAAUUGAUGAAUUAAUGAUUUUGAAUUUAUUUGUGGAAACAGAUUAGAGACAUAUUUAUAAUCAUUAAAAUAUGUAUUAUAGAAUAAAUAUUUUUAAACCAAAUAAUAUACAAAAUAUUAAAAACGUUAGUUAAAAUACAUACACUAAAGGAAAAUUUAAUAAUAUAUAAAAUAUAAAAUAAUAGCAAGAAUACAUAAUAAAACAUAAUUUUAGGAAACACACAAUAGGUUUACAAAACAUAUACAUAUAUAAAUAGAUUUAAGAAUAAUUAUUUAUAAAAAUAGCAUGAAGUUAAUAAUGCAUAUAAAAUUAAGUUAAUCUACAAAUUAUAUAUGUACAAAUAUAUGUAAAAGCAUUUAAAUGAAAUACUAUAUAAUCUAUUAGAAUAAUGUAAUAUAAAGAAAAAUUCUAAAAUAGUAAUUUUAUAAACACAAAAUGAGGUUCCUAAAAUAGCUGCAUAUAUACAUAAAAACAUUAAAUGGAUCUUAAAACAAUAAAAACUCCAUUAAAAUAAUAUAUGUACAAAUAUACACAAACAAUAUUUAAACAAAACAUUAUGUAAAUAGUUAAAAUAGUAUGAUAUAAAUACAAAUUUCAGAAUAAUGAUUUUAUAGAAUAAAGUAAGGUUAUCAAAAUGGUUUAACACACAUACAAAAAAACAAAUGGAUUUUCAAAAUAAUAAUGAAUAAAAGAUUCAAAUAAAAUAAUAUAAGUACAUGUACAUAAAAAGAUUUGAGACAAAUAUUAUGCAAAGUGUUAAAACUAUAUGAUAUAAAGAAGAAAUUCAACCUAAUUAUACAAAUGAAAACAGAAAAAAUAUUAAAAUAGAUCAACACAUAUAUAAAAAAAAUAUUAAAUGUAUUUUAAAGUGGCGUGUGUUACAAAUAGAAAACUAAAUUAAAAAUUGAAUUAAAAUAAGAGGGACAAUUUACAAAUAGAAUAAACUAUUGGGAUUAGAAUAGGGACCUAUGCGCAAUGCGCACGAAUACACAGGGACUAAAGCAGUAAAUAAUUUAGAUCCCAAAACGCAGUGUUUAGGCAUGGAUCAAAUUGCAAAUAUGUGUAAAUUACAAAGCCAAAAUAAAAAAAUGAAAUAAAUAAGGCGCAAUUGAAUGCCCUUACGAAAAGGGAAGGACCAAUCGUGAAAUUAUCCCCUCUCCACAAAAACGUGCGGAUCUUAGGGGUAAAAGAUCAAAUCGGGCCGGGUAUGAUCAACAUGACACCGUUUUGAGAGCUAUUGGGCAAAGCUUAAAACGGUGCCGUUUGUGGUCCUAUAUAAAGGCUUAAACCAACAUAUUCGGCCGAACCCAAACCCUAGCCUCAUUUCUUCUCCACCAGCAAACCCUAGACCCCUUUUAGCCUCAACAUCGAUCCACCACCACGACGGUGGUCAACAGUUUCAAGGCCUCGAAGAGUCGAUUCUUAGCCUUGAGGUUCUCUCCAGACUUCGAUUUAAAUGAAGUAAAGAGAACCAACGGCCUAUUCGCAAGGUAAGAUCACUCUUUUUCUUUUACUUCUGCUUUUAAGAUGUAAAUGAUAAAAAGAUCACUAGAAAUAGGUAAAAAGAACAGAGAAUUAAAAGGAGAAAGGAAAAAAAAAUCACCUUUUGAAAUCGUUUUUUGAACUGUUAUAUUAAGUAUGCGUAUAGUGUGCAUGCGUAAUUUUUUACAGAUUACAUCAAUGGCUUUUUAUAGCCGAAUUUACAAAAUAAAUAAAAGGGAAAAAAUAAUGAAAAUCAUAUUUUCUGGCUGUCAUUUCUGUUAUUCUAUUAGCCUGCUUUCUUCUCCUGUAUUCUGUUGCAGGUAUGGCCGUACGGAGGAGUAGGGAGAGGCACGCGUGAAAGAGGCCAUGCAGGGAAAUCGCUCGUGGGAGCCCGACCCCCUGGCGCUGUUCUGGCAUGUUCCAGAAGCUUCUGGUCUCUCGGCUGCUAAGAUUCCUUUUGGAUCCUUUCAGGUUUGGGCUUUUUGUAAAUCGGGCUAGGGAUUUUUGGUAUAGUUCUUUUGGGCUGUUUUAUGUAAUUGGGUUAGGUCUAGAUUAAGGGGUUUGGGUUUAAUUUAAUUUAGGCCCAAAUAUUUGUAACCAGACACUGGGCUCUUAAAUUUGGAUUCUUUAUUUAUUUAUUUAUUUAAAUUUAUUUGGGCCUAUUUGUUUGGCUCAUUUUAAUA